AACGCUGGCGGCGUGCUUAACACAUGCAAGUCGAACGAGAGGACAAGAGAAGCUUGCUUCUUUUGGAAUCGAGUGGCAAACGGGUGAGUAACACGUAAACAACCUGCCUUCAGGAUGGGACAACAGACGGAAACGACUGCUAAUACCGAAUACGCUUGGGAGACCGCAUGAUCUUCCAAGGAAAGGGUGGCCUCUACUUGUAAGCUAUCGCCUGAAGAGGGGUUUGCGUCUGAUUAGGCAGUUGGUGAGGUAACGGCCCACCAAACCUACGAUCAGUAGCCGGUCUGAGAGGAUGAACGGCCACACUGGAACUGAGACACGGUCCAGACUCCUACGGGAGGCAGCAGUGGGGAAUCUUCCGCAAUGGGCGAAAGCCUGACGGAGCAACGCCGCGUGAGUGAUGACGGCCUUCGGGUUGUAAAGCUCUGUGAUCGGGGACGAACGGUCCGUAAGCCAAUACCUUAUGGAAGUGACGGUACCCGAAUAGCAAGCCACGGCUAACUACGUG
rnacentral:rRNA from 1 species